rnacentral:SRP_RNA from 1 species
ACCAGGCUCAGUGGUGCAUGCCUGUAGUCCCAGCUACUCGGGAGGCCGAGGUGGGAGGAUCGCUUGAGCCCAGGAGUUCUGGGCUAUAGUGCGCUAUGCCGAUCGGGUAUCCGCACUAAGUUCGGCAUCAAUAUGGUGACCUCCCGGGAGCAGGGGACCACCAGGUUGCCUAAGGAGGGGUGAACUGGCCCAGGUCGAAAACAGAGCAGGUCAAAACUCCCGUGCUGAUCAGUAGUGGGAUUGCGCCUGUGAAUAGCCACUGCACUCCAGCCUGGGCAACACAGCAAGACCCUGUUUCU